UGCAGUCGAGCGGUAACAGAUCUAGCUUGCUAGAUGCUGACGAGCGGCGGACGGGUGAGUAACGCGUAGGAAACUGCCGAGUAGUGGGGGAUAGCCCAGAGAAAUUUGGAUUAAUACCGCAUACGCCCUACGGGGGAAAGGAGGGGAUCUUCGGACCUUUCGCUAUUCGAUGUGCCUGCGUGAGAUUAGCUUGUUGGUGAGGUAAAGGCUCACCAAGGCGACGAUCUCUAGCUGGUUUGAGAGGAUGAUCAGCCACACUGGGACUGAGACACGGCCCAGACUCCUACGGGAGGCAGCAGUGGGGAAUAUUGGACAAUGGGCGAAAGCCUGAUCCAGCAAUGCCGCGUGAGUGAUGAAGGUCUUCGGAUUGUAAAGCUCUUUCGACGGGGAAGAUAAUGACGGUACCCGUAGAAGAAGCCCCGGCUAACUUCGUGCCAGCAGCCGCGGUAAUACGAAGGGGGCUAGCGUUGUUCGGAUUUACUGGGCGUAAAGCGUGCGUAGGCGGCUUAUCAAGUCAGAAGUGAAAGCCCGGGGCUCAACUCCGGAAUGGCUUUUGAGACUGGUAGGCUGGAGUUCGGGAGAGGGUAGUGGAAUUCCCAGUGUAGAGGUGAAAUUCGUAGAUAUUC
rnacentral:rRNA from 1 species